rnacentral:rRNA from 1 species
GCGUGAACGAUGAAAUAUUUAGGUAUGUAAAGUUCUUUUAUUAAAGAAGAAAAAAUGAUGGAAAAAUCAUUCUGACGGUAUUUAAUGAAUAAGCCCCGGCUAACUAUGUGCCAGCAGCUGCGGUAAUACAUGGGGGGCAAGCGUUAUCCGGAUUUAUUGGGCGUAAAGGGUGUGUAGGCGGUUUAAUAAGUCUAUGGUAUAAGUUCAACGCUUAACGUUGUGAUGCUAUGGAAACUGUUUGACUAGAGUUGGAUAGAGGCAAGUGGAAUUCCAUGUGUAGCGGUAAAAUGCGUAAAUAUAUGGAGGAACACCAGUAGCGAAGGCGGCUUGCUGGGUCUUAACUGACGCUGAGGCACGAAAGCGUGGGGAGCAAACAGGAUUAGAUACCCUGGUAGUCCACGCCGUAAACGAUGAGUACUAAGUGUUGGGUUAAACCAGUGCUGAAGUUAACACAUUAAGUACUCCGCCUGAGUAGUACGUACGCAAGUAUGAAACUUAAAGGAAUUGACGGGACUCCGCACAAGCGGUGGAUCAUGUUGUUUAAUUCGAAGAUACACGAAAAACCUUACCAGGUCUUGACAUACUCUGCAAAGCUAUAGAAAUAUAGUGGAGGUUAUCAGGGAUACAGGUGGUGCAUGGUUGUCGUCAGCUCGUGUCGUGAGAUGUUGGGUUAAGUCCCGCAACGAGCGCAACCCUUAUCGCUAGUUACCAUCAUUUAGUUGGGCACUUUAGUGAGACUGCCAAUGAUAAAUUGGAGGAAGGUGGGGAUUACGUCAAAUCAUCAUGCCCCUUAUGACCUGGGCUACAAACGUGAUACAAUGGCUGUUACAAAGAGUAGCUGAAGCGUG